GGAGAAACUCGUAGAAUGUUCGUCUUGUAGGAUAUCCAGCACAGCUGAUUCUAAUUGCCUCUAGAACGCCACCACAACGUAGUUGCUGGAUAAUGUUACCAUUCUCAAAAAUUGCAGGCUUGAGUACAUUAUUUGGCUUCACACAUCUGAUAUAGUGGGGCUCAGUUGAACUCAAGGUCUCCAUCAAAGAUUGGAGUUGUAGCUUAAAGCGUGACCCAAUGGAAGAAAAUUUAGAGGAUUUUGAUGAUUCCUCUGGAAGUGGAGGAAAGAGAUCAGCCACAAAGGAGCACUUCGAGGCCGUCAGAAGAUCCUGGUGUUCUGCCACUACAUAAUCUUUGUUCUUGUCAAGGAAUUGAUCGGCCAGAUAAGUUACCUCCCCUGCAUAGUGCGAUAUGGUAAAACUAGUACGAGAAAGCUUGGGUUUGAUAAAUCGCUUGUUGUUUUUAAAUGUCUGGUACAACUUCUGAGCAAAAGUUUCAUGUGUCGAUUUAGGAAACAUGCAGGCUUCAUCUAGAAGUGCUAUAAUUCCCCCAGGUUUCUUCUCAAUCAGAUCUAGCACAUCUUGAUUAUCAACAAAUUCUAUGUAGCUCCAAUUUAUUUCUUCUUUUGUAUAUUCUUCCUGCUCCAUUUUAAAGACAUGCUGAUUGAAAUGCUGCUGCAGUUUUUCAUUUGUAAAAUUUAUGCAAAACUGCUCAAAACUAUUGAACUUAAAACUUUCAAAACCAUAUAUAUCCAGAACUCCAAUUAAUUGUUUUGAGUUGGGAUCCUGCCCAAUUGAACUAUUAAUUUUAUCCACAAGCCAAUCAAACAAACGGGAAUAAAU
rnacentral:misc_RNA from 1 species